CAACAGUAUUAGACAAAUCAUCAAGGCAUUUGUUUUAAAAUGUUAGCUAAAGAACGCACAAUCUAUAUGACUCUCUGGAGUAAAACUCUUAGGGAUUUUCAUUGUUCAAAGUAGAGAUGUAGUUGACAUGAAGGGAUGUCUGCCUAGUUCACAAAAGUAUGACCAUGAAAAUAUCAUUUCUAUGAUACUCCCUCGUUAUGGGUGAUGCUCAGAGAAGAGGGAAUGAGAGAGGUAGCAUUGACUAUUUAAAAUCCGUCCUGAGGUCAGACCCACAAAUGCAUUUUCUGUUAUUUUAUUUCAAUACUGAUAAGUAGGCCUAGAGGUUUUUUUUUCUUGUCCAAUCAGAACAUGUAAUCCAGGAACUGCAUUUGCAUAACCUCUUAUGCUGAGGUCAUGUCAGGUCAUUUCAGGCUCUUCUGUGUCGAGCGGAGGAGCUACUCUGUGCCCAGCUUAGAGGACUGGAAGAGGCCGCAACCUUCCACCUGCUGGAGGUUGGAAGAUGGAUGGAGGCUGGAGGAUGGAUGGAGCCUGGAGCCUGGAGCCUGGGUCACUACCUCGCUACGGUUGGUGGUGGCGAUAGAGCAGUAGGAGGGCGGCGGGCAGCAGGAGCUUCUGCUGGGCUGGAGAACUAGAAGGAAGAGGCACUGCCACAUGCUGGAGGCUGGAACCUGUGCCAUCAUGGCUCGCCUCGCUGUGAUUGUCAGUGAUGUCGGAGACUGCAGCUCAGCCACAGUGGUAGAAAUGUGAUGGGGUAGGUGAGUUUCCGUGCCUGCCCUGUACGCCUCUGGGGGCAAGGGUUGGGUGUCCUAUUGGGGCUCACUGCUAGAGGCUACCCUGCCUGUGGCAGUGGUCUGGUUGGGGGCACUCUCUGGUGUUGCAUUGCUGGCUGUGGGGCAGGUUGGCUGGCUAUCUGGGGCUAUACUGCCCGUGGUGGCAGGGGUGGUGGGGGGAGGCAGAUUGUGUACACUAGCGUGUAUUGCCGGCGGCUGGUGAAGGAUUAGGGGUGCUAUCUUCUGCUGCACUGCCUGCGGCAGGGGGUGGGUUGGGUGGAGUUAUCUGGGGCUACAAUGCUGGCAGUUGGGGGUGGUUUAGGGGCGUUGUUGGGUGCUGCACUGCCUGUGACUGGGGG
rnacentral:lncRNA from 1 species